rnacentral:tRNA from 1 species
AAAUAGAUAAGCUAAAAAAGCUAUUGGGUUCAUACCCCACUUAUAAAGGUUCACCCCUUUUCUAUUUA